rnacentral:rRNA from 1 species
GACGAACGCUGGCGGCAUGCUUAACACAUGCAAGUCGAACGGAAAGGCCCUGCUUUGGGGGGGUGCUCGAGUGGCGAACGGGUAAGUAACACGUGAGUAACCUGCCCUUGACUUUGGGAUAUCUUCAGGAAACUGGGGCUCAUCCCGGCUAGGAGCUACUGCUGCAUGGUGGGGGUUGGAAGGUUUCGGUGGUUGGGGAUGGACUCGCGUCUUAUCAGAUUGUUGGUGGGGUAGUGGCUUACCAAGGCUUUGACGGGUAGCCGGGCUGAGAGGGUGACCGGCCACACUGGGAUGGAGAUGCGGCACAGACUCCUACGGGAGGGAGGAGAGGGGAAUAGAGUAUUAGGGGCGGAAGGCUGGCGUAGUACCGCCGCGUGGGGGAUGAGGGGCUUGGCGUUGGAAUGCGAUGUCGUCUGUGACGAAGUGUGAGUGACGGUAAUGGGUAAAGAAGCACCGGCUAACUACGUG